rnacentral:rRNA from 1 species
UACGAAGGGGGCUAGCGUUGUUCGGAAUUACUGGGCGUAAAGGGCGCGUAGGCGGCUUGGUCAGUCCCGUGUGAAAUCCCUCGGCUCAACCGAGGAACUGCCUUCCAGACUGCUUUGCUUGAGUCCGGGAGAGGUGAGUGGAAUUCCCAGUGUAGCGGUGAAAUGCGUAGAUAUUGGGAGGAACACCAGUGGCGAAGGCGGCUCACUGGACCGGAACUGACGCUGAGGCGCGAAAGCGUGGGGAGCAAACGGG